rnacentral:rRNA from 1 species
AAUAGAUACCCAGGUAGUCCACGCUGUAAACGAUGAGGACUAAAUGUUGGUAGGGGAACCUAUCGGUAUUGAAGCUAACGCGAUAAGUCUUCCGCCUGGGAAGUACGGCCGCAAGGUUGAAACUCAAAUGAAUUGACGGGGGCCCGCACAAGCGGUGGAGCAUGUGGUUUAAUUCGAUGCAACGCGAAGAACCUUACCUACCCUUGACAUCCUGCGAAUCCCGAUGAGAGUUGGGAGUGCCGCAAGGAGCGCAGAGAUAGGUGCUGCAUGGCUGUCGUCAGCUCGUGUUGUGAGAUGUUGGAUUAAGUCCCGUAACGAGCGCAACCCUUGUCCUUAGUUGCCAGCAUUAAGUUGGGGACUCUAAGGAGACUGCCGGUGAGGAACCGGAGGAAGGCGGGGACGACGUCAAGUCAUCAUGGCCUUUAGUGGGUAGGGCUACACACGUGCUACAAUGGGGCGUACAGAGGGUCGCGAACCCGCGAGGGGAGCCAAUCUCAUAAAGCAUCUCGUAGUCCGGAUUGGAGU